AGGAAAAAAUUGUGUUGGACCGUGGGAAUAAUUCAAAGAUAAUAAGACCUCCCCACCCCCCUUGGCCGCCUCUGUGCUGCUCUUCCAGCACUAAUCACUGAGAACUUGUUAUAUACCGGACGCUGGAUUUACCAUUCUUUAACCCAAGUGCUCCGAGAAAGGUGGAAGCAGAUAGCUCUACAACACAACGGGAUCAUUUUUUCAAAAAAAUUCAAUCUUAUUUGGAGGAUAGCCUAAAUGAUGCAGACCCAUUGUUAAUCACUGCC